rnacentral:rRNA from 1 species
UACGUAGGUGGCAAGCGUUGUCCGGAUUUACUGGGUGUAAAGGGCGUGCAGCCGGAGAGACAAGUCAGAUGUGAAAUCCACGGGCUCAACUCGUGAACUGCAUUUGAAACUGUUUCCCUUGAGUGUCGGAGAGGUAAUCGGAAUUCCUUGUGUAGCGGUGAGAUGCGUAGAUAUAAGGAAGAACACCAGUGGCGAAGGCGGAUUACUGGACGAUAACUGACGGUGAGGCGCGAAAGCGUGGGGAGCAAACAGG